GCGGUGGCUGUGGCGAUGGGCGUCGCAGCCUCUCCGCGCAGCGGGCAGGAGCGUUUUAGCUUCGCUGUGGCAGAGCUGAGCUAGGGGACAUCUUGACAAACUCAUUCAGCACCUCUCCCUCUCCUCUUCAUGAAAUGUCUUGCUGUGAUGAAGAAACGCCUUCCAGAUCGUAGAAGUACAUAAGGAACGUUACACACAGCCUUCGGGCGGAGCCGCGGCUGUGGUCAAGCUGUGCCAAACGUGGAGCAAGCCGCUGUCAAAGUCAUACGAGA